GUUCACUGAUAGAAAAUGAUAGUGCAAAUUUCAGGUUAAAGUUUUUGGCUUCAGGUUAAAGUUUUGUCAAGGUAGUUUUUGAUGAAGUUGAAGUCCAAUCAACUUGAAACUUAGUAUACAUGUGCCCUAUGAUAUGAUCUUUCUAAUUUAAAUGCCAAAUUAGAGUUUUGACCCCAAAUUUUACGGUUCACUAACAUAGAAAAUGAUAGUGCAAAUUUCAGGUUAAAGUUUUUGGUCAAGGUAGUUUUUGAUGAAGUUGAAGUCCAAUCAACUUGAAAACUUAGUAUACAUGUGCCCUAUGAUAUGAUCUUUCUAAUUUAAAUGCCAAAUUAGAGUUUUGACCCCAAUUUUACGGUUCAAUGAACAUAGAAAAUGAUAGUGCAAAUUUCAGGUUAAAGUUUUUGGCUUCAGGUUAAAGUUUUUGGUCAAGGUAGUUUUUUGAUGAAGUUGAAGUCCAAUCAACUUGAAACUUAGUAUACAUGUGCCCUAUGAUAUGAUCUUUCUAAUUUAAAUGCCAAAUUAGAGUUUUGACCCCAAUUUUACGGUUCACUGACAUAGAAAAUGAUAGUGCAAAUUUCAGGUUAAAGUUUUUGGUCAAGGUAGUUUUUGAUAAAGUAGAAGUCCAAUCAACUUGAAACUUAGUAUACAUGUUCCCUUUGAUAAGAUCAUUCUAAUUUUAAUACCAAAUUUAGAGAAUUUAUUCCAAUUUCACAGUCCUUUAAACAUAGAAAAUGAUAGUGUGAGUGGGGAUAUCGUGUACUGUGGACACAUUCUUGUU
rnacentral:lncRNA from 1 species